rnacentral:rRNA from 1 species
UCAGAUGAACGCUGGCGGCAGGCCUAACACAUGCAGUCGAGCGGAUGAAGGGAGCUUGCUCCUGGAUUCAGCGGCGGACGGGUGAGUAAUGCCUAGGAAUCUGCCUGGUAGUGGGGGAUAACGUCCGGAAACGGGCGCUAAUACCGCAUACGUCGUGAGGGAGAAAGUGGGGGAUCUUCGGACCUCACGCUAUCAGAUGAGCCUAGGUCGGAUUAGCUAGUUGGUGGGGUAAAGGCCUACCAAGGCGACGAUCCGUAACUGGUCUGAGAGGAUGAUCAGUCACACUGGAACUGAGACACGGUCCAGACUCCUACGGGAGGCAGCAGUGGGGAAUAUUGGACAAUGGGCGAAAGCCUGAUCCAGCCAUGCCGCGUGUGUGAAGAAGGUCUUCGGAUUGUAAAGCACUUUAAGUUGGGAGGAAGGGCAGUAAGUUAAUACCUUGCUGUUUUGACGUUACCAACAGAAUAAGCACCGGCUAACUUCGUGCCAGCAGCCGCGGUAAUACGAAGGGUGCAAGCGUUAAUCGGAAUUACUGGGCGUAAAGCGCGCGUAGGUGGUUCAGCAAGUUGGAUGUGAAAUCCCCGGGCUCAACCUGGGAACUGCAUCCAAAACUACUGAGCUAGAGUACGGUAGAGGGUGGUGGAAUUUCCUGUGUAGCGGUGAAAUGCGUAGAUAUAGGAAGGAACACCAGUGGCGAAGGCGACCACCUGGACUGAUACUGACACUGAGGUGCGAAAGCGUGGGGAGCAAACAGGAUUAGAUACCCUGGUAGUCCACGCCGUAAACGAUGUCGACUAGCCGUUGGGAUCCUUGAGAUCUUAGUGGCGCAGCUAACGCGAUAAGUCGACCGCCUGGGGAGGACGGCCGCAAGGUUAAAACUCAAAUGAAU